ACGGGAGGCAGCAGUGGGGGAUAUUGGACAAUGGGGGAAACCCUGAUCCAGCGACGCCGCGUGAGUGAAGAAGUAUUUCGGUAUGUAAAGCUCUAUCAGCAGGGAAGAAAAAGCGCAAGCAUUGACUGUACCUGACUAAGAAGCCCCGGCUAACUACGUGCCAGCAGCCGCGGUAAUACGUAGGGGGCAAGCGUUAUCCGGAUUUACUGGGUGUAAAGGGAGCGUAGGCGGUACGGCAAGUCAGGUGUGAAAACCCGGGGCUUAACUCCGGGACUGCACUUGAAACUGCUUGGCUUGAGUACGGGAGAGGCAAGUGGAAUUCCUAGUGUAGCGGUGAAAUGCGUAGAUAUUAGGAAGAACACCAGUGGCGAAGGCGACUUGCUGGACCGCAACUGACGCUGAGGCUCGAAAGCGUGGGGAGCAAACAGGAUUAGAUACCCUGGUA
rnacentral:rRNA from 1 species